rnacentral:rRNA from 1 species
UGAGUGAAGAAGGCCUUCGGGUUGUAAAGCUCUUUUGUCAGGGAAGAAACGGCUGAGGAUAAUACCUUCGGCUAAUGACGGUACCUGAAGAAUAAGCACCGGCUAACUACGUGCCAGCAGCCGCGGUAAUACGUAGGGUGCAAGCGUUAAUCGGAAUUACUGGGCGUAAAGCGUGCGCAGGCGGUUUUGUAAGUCUGACGUGAAAGCCCCGGGCUCAACCUGGGAAUUGCGUUGGAGACUGCAUGGCUUGAAUCUGGCAGAGGGGGGUAGAAUUCCACGUGUAGCAGUGAAAUGCGUAGAGAUGUGGAGGAACACCGAUGGCGAAGGCAGCCCCCUGGGUCAAGAUUGACGCUCAUGCACGAAAGCGUGGGGAGCAAACAGGAUUAGAUACCCUGGUAGUCCACGCCCUAAACGA